UAUAUGAAAGACCUGAGUAAUUUCUAGCUGAAUGUGACUACACGUGUUAUAUGGCUCACUUUUUUUGUUUUUUAAGCAAAAUAUAAGAACAUCCAAUUAUUGUUCCCUUUAUAUCAGUUCCCUUAAAAAGAUUAAACACCUAUUUCUGUGUUAUGGUUCCUUUUUUUGGAACUAUAUUCCCGCUUCAAGGUGUUUUUAAUAUUUGGAAACAGUAUAAACCAUUUGGAAUCAGGAUUGGUGGUUAAGUUGAAUUUGGGCUAAAAUACUAAGAAUACAGCAUUCUCGGUGACAUGUAAAUUAGCUCUCAGUUGGUCCCCAAACUGCUUUUAUCAAUGAUAGCACUCCUGGAACAAACCUUCCAAGGUCCUCUAAUGACAAUAUUUAAUUCGGAUACUUAAGGUGUGGUUGGUUAUUGCUUUCGUUUUAUUAUAGUCAUUACUUUAUAGCCACAUGUUGUUAUAUAUCAUAUAGCCAAGUUGUAUUCAGACUUGUAAAUAUAACUAUUUGAAGUAGUUAAUCUUAAAGUCAUACAUUUGCAUGUUCUUUUUAAGCUUCGUCCAUGCUGGUUAUUGCACUGAACGAUAAUAUAUAUGGCAUGUUAACAGUAUACCAGUAACAGCACUUUAUCUCAUUUAUAUGAACACCUUUGAGGUGCUACUUAAGUCCAAACUGAUGUAUUAUUCAUUUGUAAAGAUAAGGUACAGGAGUGAACCUUGAUUUUAAAGGUAUUUUUAUAAGAAAAUGGUGUGCUAUUGGAGGAUGUUAAAAUACUAGUUUGAGAGAGGUGGUGGGAGUGUAUUUGUUUUGUAUGUUGGGAUGUGAAAUUUAUUUUCUAGAAUUGGAGAGAAGGAAGUUCUAUAUUUACAGAAUGUUUUAAAAAUGAAUAGUUGUAAUGAAGUCCCUGUGAGCAUCAUUAUGGUUUUGUACGAAUAGGACUCUUCUGGUGUCAUUCUCCAUUUGUUCCUGAGUGUGUACAGAGUACUUUGUACAGCUUUGUCAGUCUUUUUUAGAGGCGUCUCAUGAGUUCUGCUAUAACUACUAUGGCUUAUUUAUUGUUUAUUUUCUUUAAUAUUUGUGGAAGUCUUACUCUUUUGUUUUGUAGUUUUGUUUCUGCACAACUACUGUACUUUUCCAUAUGGAAUAAAGACAAUUAAUAGAAUUUGUUUUGCAUUAAAUGAAACAAUGGCUACGUAGAGAAGAUCCUGAUGUCAGCUAUCUGCCUUGCUUAAAUCCGGAGUGAUUUUAUCCUAAAGAAGUGGAAAGCCUUUUUCUCAGUAAUACUACAAAUACAUAUUUAAUUUUAUUUAAUAAUUUCAGAACAAGGGUAAUGGCUUCCAGAAAUCCCAAAACAUUCCGGGGUCAAAAUUAGUCUUUUUGCCUGAAAUGAGAAGAACGCAUGAAGAGCAUUCUGUACUUCUCUGUUCGGAAAUCCUGGAGCGUGGUUUUAGUGGCAAGAGUGCAUCUUCAGUAGGUAACUCCCACUUUGGUGAUACAUACACUGAACACUGUGCCAGUGGGAAAGUUUGUUCUUCAUAUUUCUUUUAUCUUUGAGUUAAAAGUGUUUGUCUUUAUAACCACAUAUUUCAAAGUAGUAUGAAUGAGUGUGAACAUUAAACUGUUGUAUUGUGAUAAAAUCCUGAUGUGGAAUCUUAAGCCUAAGCAACUUCAGGUUAUUGUGUGGUUACUGCUAUUACUGGCAAGGCCAAGUAAAGUAUUUUCAGUCACUCUUGAAAGCUAUAUAUUUAAACUAAAGGUAAAAAACAAAAAACUGGGUAGGAGGGGAAAACUUUAUUAAUAGAUCAUUCUUAUUGGAUGACUUCCUGUGAAGCUGCCAGUGUGACUAUUAGAAUGUAUUAUACGUUACAUUAUGAUUUUGAUAGAGUCUUAGUAAAGGUAUUUGGUCCAGUUACCCCAGGAAGUGCAGUCUCCUUGGGAUGCUACUGGUCAGUGCUGAGGACCGGGCAGUGGGCAGGUAGGUGAUGGCUGCUCCUGCCUAGUCCUGCACGGAUGGUGGUCCCCAAGAGUGCAGAGGGGCCGUGUGGUGUCCUUUCCUAUGGAACGACGACAGUGAGGAUUUCGGGGGUAAGCACAGAGUCUUGGUCCCUGCCUGCCCUUAGAGUUUAGUUCUAACAAGCUUUCCCACUAAUGGCUUCCAUUCUGGUAAACAACUUGUGAGACAAAUGGAGAGUCAACACAACCUCAGCCUUCCGAACUUGUAGUUUUCUUCUGAAUGUUUAUCAGGGUGUUGUAUUAGCUAUCAGUCUGUUGUGUAAAAAUGUGUAGUCACCUUAGCUUAAACUAUAUGUGAGAACUUCUAAGAAUUUUAAAUUGUAAAGGGAGGCUAGUUUGCCACUUUAUAUGUUUCAGCAAAGUCAACUUGACGUAUCUGUGAUAAUUUAUUCCAUCUAACUUGUACCUAGGUUUAGACAAUGGGGGAAAAAUCAUUACUACCUUGCAAACUUAGAAUCUAACAAAAUUGCUCAUUAAACAUGUCAAAGUGAUUUUCUCAAUUUAGUCAUAAACAAAUCUACAAUUGUUUUGCUAAAAAUUCUCUUUAGAAGGAUUCCAAAGAGUUAUCAAAUGAACAGUUAUUAACUAGGAUUUAUCUGUUAUAUUCUAGAUUAUUCCAAUCUUUGGUUAUAAUGGAAUAUGAUCUAUAACAAGAAUAAAUUUGAGCAUGGCAAAUUUAAAGUUGUAAAACUUUACUUCUCUACAGGUUAAGCUUUUUUUCCCACUAGUAUAAAAAGGCUUUUAUAGUAAAAAUAGAAAAGAUGUUAUAUGUGUUACUUAGUUUCUAUGUUUUAAAGAAUGAAAAUAGCCAGUAAAUAGUUUUUAUAGGUAACUAAGUUUAAGAAGUUUACCUUUCUCCUUCUGUUUUGCUUUUAAUAAUGUCUGAUUAGUAUCUACCUUUAAAUCAUUCAAAUGAAAUCACAGAAAAUAUAAAUAAUGCAAUAUAAAAUAGUUUUAUUUUUGAUGUGUCUCCAGCCAUCGAUCAAUGGCCAUUUUCAGAGUCCUAUUUGGUAUAAGUACCACUGAAGGAAGAACAAGAUUUGUCAUGGGACUUGUACGUUUCUUUUUGCUGAUCCAAUUUUCCAUUGCUUCCUUUUCGUAUGAAUAGCCAUCUAAAAACAAAACCACAUACACAAAUUAUUUGCAAUGUAGGAAAGGGAAGUUAGGAUUACUAAAAUGGGUACAAAAGCUCCACUGCCAAGGCCUUUACUGUAAUUUAAGUGGUAGUCUUGUCUAGCACCACUGCUCCCCAAAUAUUUCUGCAACAACAUCGUAAAUUCUACCAUUUAAGAUGCAUUAAGAUUGCACAAAUUACCUCCAACAGUGUCAAAAAACUGAAAAAAGGACUGUCAAAAAUUCAGAUGUAGCACAAAGGAAGAAAGGAAACGAGCCAGGUAGAGGAAAGUGGUAGUGAAGCUACAGUGCCCUGCUAGUGCUGUCAGCUAUGUGUCAGUUAAUGUGGCUAAAGAUGGGAGCAAAAAGCUCUGGGGAUGACAAGGCAAAACUUUCCGACAUGUUGAAAAGUCAGGGAAACAGAUACCAAGAGAUAAUAGAGCUCACCCCACUAAGGACUUGACAGUAAAGGGAUUUACUAUGCCAAAAAAAAACAACAAAAAAAAUUCAUUGGCUAAGGUUUUUCAUACCAUGUUCUUACAAACUUUUUUGCAUGUGUUAAGGUUGGAGGUUUUGCUUCACUACUUUUUUUAUACUUGUAGCUCUUUCUCUUAAACUUAAAAUCUUAGUUCCUAAUUACAUUUACACAUUAACCUAUUUCUUUUAAUCUGCAAUGCAUACAACUGUUUCAAACUAACAAUGCCAAUAUAUUACUAAUGUAAGACUGUAAAAGAUUUUUUUCUGGCUCUUUCUGUCACCAAGAUAGAUCCCCUAGGGUUGUCUAAUUGAAAUCCUGUGUUUGACAAUCACUUGAAAAAAAAAUUUCUGAUUAUGUUACUGGACAUAUAAUGUGGUCCAUUUGCUUCCCUUUUUAUCCUCCCAAUUUUUAGAGACUGGUUUGUUUUUCAUGAUGUAUUUUAACAUUUAAAUGGUUUCAAAGUAAAAACUAUAAAAAGUCACAUUAAGAGUUUCUCUGUCCAACCCACGUUCUCUCCCUUCCCAUAUAGGUAACCAUGUAUGUUAGUUUGUUUACCCUUUCCUUUUGAAAAUAUAAGCAAAUGUAUGUGUACAGACACAGUGCAUAUACAUUCUUACAUAAAAGUUAGCAUGCUCCACACUA